rnacentral:rRNA from 1 species
GCAUGUCUUUGACGUACUAUGUACUGAAAGAUGGACUGCUCAGUAAUACUCACUUUAUUUGAUGUACAUUAUACAUAACUACGUUAAAGUGUAGCUAACAUAUGUACAGUAAGAGUGAGACCUAUCAGCUAGUUGUUAAGGUAAUGGCUUAACAAGGCAAUAACGGGUAACGGUAUUACUUUGUAAUAUUCCGGAGAAGGAGCCUGAGAGACGGCUACUAAGUCUAAGGAUUGCAGCAGGGGCGAAACUUGACCUAUGGAUAUUAUCUGAGGCAGUU